rnacentral:tRNA from 1 species
GAGUUAAAUAUAUUGAGCUUCUAACUCAUUUUAGAAAAUAAACAUUCUUAGCUC